GAGGGUUGAAAUAAAUCGUAUCAACCUCUAGACCCAUAAUCUUUGUGCUCCUUCUUUUCAUUCAAUAGUAUGUCACAAACAUUUCAAGAAAGAAGAUUACGAUCUUCCAGGAGGAUGGGAUCCUGACGUUCCUAGUCUUUGUAAAUGCCUUAAAAACUAUCGAAUUUUUCCUAAAGAAAAUCAAUAGAACUAUUAGUCACAUUUCGUGAAGAGAGGUAUAAAAAUCGUCAAAAACCAAAAGAAGUCCACACCACUCAAGAUUAUGUUAAAGUCACAUACUUUUGAGGACAAUUUCAUUGAAGUUAAGAUUGAGGUUCGUGAUUCAAAGAAAGAGCAUAUGGAAGAGGAUGCAAUCGAUUGAGGUUCGUGAUUCAAGGAAAGAGGAUAUGGAAGAGGAUGCGGUUGGUCAAAAAUUUACUGAUGUCAGGAAUCUCGUCUGAUCAGUAUGAAACAUAGUCUGAAGUACAUAACUCUGAAUUCUGAACAACUUUUACUAUUUCAUAACUAAACAGGGCGUACAUUAAACACAUACAUAAAUUAUUUUAAUACUAUGAAGGCCAUAUGAAAUUCAUUCACAUUUGUUCCACAGGCCUCUUAUUGAGAAUUCCUGGUCUAUGUAUUCAAAAAACCAAAGAGUAUUCGUAACUGUUUUUUCUAUAAGAAGCUGAAUUUCUUUAAAGGACUGAAUUAGUUUGUUAAAGCCGUAAGGAUCUCAGAUCGGUCUAGAAUUUUCAGACCAAACUGCAACACUAGUGUGUGAUCUCUCCUACAAUUUGCGCUUAAUCCUUAUAUAUAAAUUAAAAUAUUUCACGUUAAGAUUUUAAUAUUAAUUACCCUAUAAACGUAUUUUCAGCUUCAUCAUUGUAUGACCCUUGAGAACGUCGUAUGAUAUUACAUUUACGUAUAAAUAUUUUAUGAUAAUGUCAAUAUUU
rnacentral:lncRNA from 1 species